rnacentral:rRNA from 1 species
UACGUAGGGUGCAAGCGUUGUCCGGAAUUAUUGGGCGUAAAGAGCUCGUAGGCGGUCUGUCGCGUCGGCUGUGAAAACUCGGGGCUCAACCCCGAGCCUGCAGUCGAUACGGGCAGAAUAGAGUGCUGUAGGGGAGACUGGAAUUCCUGGUGUAGCGGUGAAAUGCGCAGAUAUCAGGAGGAACACCGGUGGCGAAGGCGGUUCUCGUGGGCAUGUCCUGACGCUGAGGAGCGAAAGCAUGGGGAGCGAACAGG